UACGUAGGGGGCAAGCGUUGUCCGGAUUUAUUGGGCGUAAAGAGCGUGUAGGCGGUUCGGUAGGUCCGUUGUGAAAACUCGAGCUCAACCUCGAGACGCCGAUGGAAACCCUCGAACUAGAGUCCGGAAGAGGAGAGUGGAAUUCCCGGUGUAGCGGUGAAAUGCGCAGAUAUCGGGAAGAACACCCGUGGCUAAGGCGGCUCUCUAGUACGGUACUGACGCUGAGACGCGAAAAGCGUGGGGGAGCGAACAGGG
rnacentral:rRNA from 1 species